GUAAACUUUGUAGUAAGAUUUGUCAUCAAAAUCACAACUGUGCAUGCAUAUGUGAGUGUAAGCUAGUUAUUGUGUGUGUAAAUCAAAGCAAAAAUGACAAGCAAGAUAAGAUGAUAAAUAAAAAGUUUUCAGAAUACUGGUAUUUGGGAAAAGUUAGAGUUUUUUUUACAAUUUUUUUUUCAGAAAUAAUUGAAAUACUGUAAUUUGUGACCUACAAGUUAUAUACCUUAAUCAGCCUCCAUUAUAUUUACGAAAGUUCAUCAUACAAACCAUGCAAAAUUCCACCAUUUUUAUAGAACUAUGAAAAUUUUUUUUAGUAUGGUAACAUUAUUGCAGGUUGAUGACAAAUUUAUUUAAUUUCAAAAAUACUACAGUUACUUGUGAAACGUUUUAUUUUUUAUCAGUCAUUCUUGUGCUUAAUAUUAGUGUACCAGUACACAUGGAUACAUGUAGUUAGUAGUCUAUUUAUAUUUUUUUUACAUUGAACAACUAAUUAUGUAAUUUGUUUAAAAUUUGUGCAAUGGUCCAACUGCAUGAGAUACAUGUAUUAUGGUUGACAGACAUACUACUGUGUUCUUUUAGCUUCAGUAUUUUAUUUUAUUAUUUAGAAUUUCAGCUGUAAAUCUUCUCGCAAUCAUCACUUAACAGAGAAAUUAGAUAUAUUGUCAUUGAUUUAGUAUAAAAAAAAAAUCAUGGAUUAAAAUGGUACAAAUGUUUGCAUGGUAGCUUGGUUUUAGAAGUUUGAUAAGAUUGUUUAUAUAUUUAUACCUUAUUUCCAUAUGGCACAUGCAUCUCUUUAAAAUGCAAGUUGAAUUAUUCGAGUACAGUUCAGCGAUGGGAUGAAAAUUGAACUGUUCAGGUUUAAGAUAUGUGAGGUUUACUCAGUAAAUCUUCAAUAUAUACAUGUAUCUGGCUUUGAGUCCAAUAUCCUCAGGUUAUCUAUUAUUAAAAACUGUUACAUUUAAGAGCAAAGUCUAUUUUCAAUGUCUAUUUUUUGUUACAUACUAGGCAGCUUUUUGUGAUCACCAAAAUUAAAAUCUUGUAAAAUACUGGUAAAUAUUGCACUAACACUUUAAAAAUUUGUAAGGACCAAUUUUUGUGGAUUGUCUAUUUUAAAAAAAACAACAGAUUUUAAAAGGAAUGUAUUGGUAAUUUCCUGGUUGUAUUUAUCAUUUAAUAAGAAUGUGUUAUACAAAUUAAGAUAUGUUUAUUUGUAUGUGACAGAUACCAAAAGCAUUGAAAAUCCAUAAAACUUAAGCAAUCAGGAAUUCUAAAUAUUCCAGUGGUAUUUCUAGAAGCUGUGCAAUAUAUGACUGUAUGAGUACAUCACACUUAGUACUGUAACUAUUCAGUUAGGUUUGCAUGAAUAAAUCACAAUAAAACUUC
rnacentral:sRNA from 1 species